rnacentral:tRNA from 1 species
GGAGAGGUGACCGAGUGGUUGAUGGUGCCGCUCUCGAAAAGCGGAUUCGUCGCAAGGCGAACGUGGGUUCGAAUCCCACCCUCUCCGCCA